rnacentral:rRNA from 1 species
UACGUAGGGGGCUAGCGUUGUCCGGAAUCAUUGGGCGUAAAGCGCGCGUAGGCGGCCCGGUAAGUCCGCUGUAAAAGUCCAGGGCUCAACCCUGGAAAGCCGGUGGAUACUGUCGGGCUAGAGUCCGGAAGAGGCGAGUGGAAUUCCUGGUGUAGCGGUCGGAAUGCGCAGAUAUCAGGAGGAACACCGAUAGCGAAGGCAGCUCGCGGGACGUGACUGACGCUGAGGCGCG